AGAGUUUGAUCCUGGCUCAGGAUGAACGCUGGCGGCGUGCCUAAUACAUGCAAGUCGAGCGAACAGACGAGGAGCUUGCUCCUCUGACGUUAGCGGCGGACGGGUGAGUAACACGUGGAUAACCUACCUAUAAGACUGGGAUAACUUCGGGAAACCGGAGCUAAUACCGGAUAAUAUAUUGAACCGCAUGGUUCAAUAGUGAAAGACGGUUUUGCUGUCACUUAUAGAUGGAUCCGCGCCGCAUUAGCUAGUUGGUAAGGUAACGGCUUACCAAGGCAACGAUGCGUAGCCGACCUGAGAGGGUGAUCGGCCACACUGGAACUGAGACACGGUCCAGACUCCUACGGGAGGCAGCAGUAGGGAAUCUUCCGCAAUGGGCGAAAGCUUGACGGAGCAACGCCGCGUGAGUGAUGAAGGUCUUCGGAUCGUAAAACUCUGUUAUUAGGGAAGAACAAAUGUGUAAGUAACUAUGCACGUCUUGACGGUACCUAAUCAGAAAGCCACGGCUAACUACGUGCCAGCAGCCGCGGUAAUACGUAGGUGGCAAGCGUUAUCCGGAAUUAUUGGGCGUAAAGCGCGCGUAGGCGGUUUUUUAAGUCUGAUGUGAAAGCCCACGGCUCAACCGUGGAGGGUCAUUGGAAACUGGAAAACUUGAGUGCAGAAGAGGAAAGUGGAAUUCCAUGUGUAGCGGUGAAAUGCGCAGAGAUAUGGAGGAACACCAGUGGCGAAGGCGACUUUCUGGUCUGUAACUGACGCUGAUGUGCGAAAGCGUGGGGAUCAAACAGGAUUAGAUACCCUGGUAGUCCACGCCGUAAAC
rnacentral:rRNA from 1 species